rnacentral:rRNA from 1 species
AUUCCAGCUCCAAUAGCGUAUACUAAAGUUGUUGCAGUUAAAAAGCUCGUAGUUGAAUUUCUGGUCGUGGCGAUCGGUCCGCCCCUCACGGGGUGUGCACCUGGUCUCUACGUCCAUCCUCGGGGAGAGCAUGCCUGGCAUUUAGUUGUCGGGUGUGGGAUCCUCGUCAUUUACUGUGAGCAAAAUAGAGUGUUCAAAGCAGGCUUAGGCCGUUGAAUACAUUAGCAUGGAAUAAUAAGAUAGGACCUUGGUCUAUUUUGUUGGUUUGCAUUCCAAGGUAAUGAUUAAUAGGGAUAGUUGGGGGUAUUCGUAUUCAAUUGUCAGAGGUGAAAUUCUUGGAUUUAUGGAAGACGAACUACUGCGAAAGCAUUUACCAAGGAUGUUUUCAUCA